rnacentral:rRNA from 1 species
UUUCUCCUACGGGACGCAGCAGUGGGGAAUAUUGCACAAUGGGCGCAAGCCUGAUGCAGCGACGCCGCGUGCGGGAUGGAGGCCUUCGGGUUGUAAACCGCUUUUGUUCAAGGGCAAGGCACGGUCUUUGGCCGUGUUGAGUGGAUUGUUCGAAUAAGCACCGGCUAACUACGUGCCAGCAGCCGCGGUAAUACGUAGGGUGCAAGCGUUAUCCGGAUCUAUUGGGCGUAAAGGGCUCGUAGGCGGUUCGUCGCUUCAGGUGUGAAAGUCCAUCGCUUACCGUGGGAGCCGCGCCGGGUACGGGG